CUCAACCAAAAUUAUCUAUAUAAAUAUCCUAGCAUUAGAGACUUUAGGGUUUAGGGUGAGAGAGAGAGAGAGAGAGAGUCGCUGGAAUCUGUCAAGAAUGGGUGUGUGUGUGUGUGUGUGAAAAUAGUGUUCAUCAGCAUUGUCGUUCAAGCAAGUAGGAACUGAUGGAUGGUUCAGGUCAACUCCUUCCCAACAACUGAAGAAAAACCUCGAAUAUGGUUGGGUCUGGACAUCGUCGAGCCUUCCUUUUGUUUUGCUGCCUCACCGCUGCCUCCAUGGGUGUUGUUGAAACAUCAAUUCUGGGGGAAAGAAGCCAGUCGAAAAUUGGAGAAUCGAAGAUGCAGCUUUGAGCCGGUCCAAUCAGAGGAAAUGGAGUGAAGGAAUGAGAAAAAAGGGAGAAAGCAAUACAAGAUUAGAAGGAGAAAGGUAAAACAACAUAUAAAAUUUAGGAAAUAAUUUUUUCCUCUGUAGAGGCGAUGAGAAGUAGGAGCAAUCGGAUUUAGGAUUCUAAACAAAAUCAUGAGGAUUGGAAUUGAAAUAAAUAAUGGGAAUGAAAGGAGGGAAAACAACAAAAAGUGAGGGAGUGUGAAUUUGUAACAAAACUAAAAUUCAAAAGAUUUUGAAUUCAUGGAAAUUGAAUUUUA